UAAUAACUCUGCAAAUACUUAAAACGAAUAUAGUUUUACCAGCCAGCAGAUCGAAAAGUAACAUAAAUUACUGGAGUGUAAAACUUGAAACUACUGCAGAUUGAGAAUCUUGUAAGCUGGUACACUAAAAUCAUGUCUGAGAAGAAACGUAAGGAUGUGGCUAAACAGCCCAGCCAUAUUGAAGAAACCACUGAAACCAAG